rnacentral:rRNA from 1 species
GACGAACGCUGGCGGCGUGCUUAACACAUGCAAGUCGAGCGGUAAGGCUCCUUCGGGAGUACACGAGCGGCGAACGGGUGAGUAACACGUGAGCUAUCUGCCCUUCUCAUCGGAAUAAGCGUGGGAAACCGCGUCUAAUGCCGAAAACGACCUCCUUUCGCAUGAUCGGAGGUGGAAAGCUCCGGCGGAGAAGGAUGAGCUCGCGGCCUAUCAGCCAGUUGGUGAGGGAACGGCCCACCAAGGCGACGACGGGUAGCCGGCCUGAGAGGGUGACCGGCCACACUGGGACUGAGACACGGCCCAGGCUCCUACGGGAGGCAGCAGUGGGGAAUAUUGGACAAUGGGCGAAAGCCUGAUCCAGCAACGCCGCGUGAGGGAUGACGGCCUUCGGGUUGUAAACCUCUUUCAGCAGGGACGAAGCGAAAGUGACGGUACCUGCAGAAGAAGGACCGGCCAACUACGUGCCAGCAGCCGCGGUAAGAC